rnacentral:rRNA from 1 species
CAUGUCUAUUUGUAGUUAUAAAUAGUCCAAUCUGCCCACUGAUAAUUAUAUUAAAGGGCCGCAGUAUUCUAACUGUGCAAAGGUAGCAUAAUCGUUAGUUCUUUAAUUGAGAUCUUGUAUGAAUGAUUAGACAAAAAAAUUACUGUCUUUAUAAUAAAAAUUGAAUUUAACUUUUAAGUGAAAAGGCUUAAAUUGUUUAGAGUGACGAUAAGACCCUAUAAAGCUUAAUAUUUUAUAAAAAUGUAAAUAAUAUAAAGUAAUAAAAUUUUAAAUAUUAUGAAUAUUUUAUUGGGGUGAUAGAAGUAAAAUUAUUGUAACUGCUUUGGAUUAAGACAAUUAUAAUUGAUUGAUUAAUAUUAAAUGAUCCUAUAAUAUAGAGUAUAAGAUUAAGUUACUUUAGGGAUAACAGCGUUAUUUUUUUUAAGAGUUCUUAUCGAAAGAAAAGAUUGCGACCUCGAUGUUGAAUUAAAAUAUCUAUAUAAUUGUAGGAGUUAUAUUAGAAGGUCUGUUCGACCUUUAAAUUUUUACAUGAUUUGAGUUCAGACCGGUUUAAACCAGGUCGGUUUCUAUCUUCUAAUUUAAAUUAAUUACUUUA